GAUGAACGCUGGCGGCGUGCCUAAUACAUGCAAGUCGAGCGAACGGACGAGAAGCUUGCUUCUCUGCUGUUAGCGGCGGACGGGUGAGUAACACGUGGAUAACCUACCUAUAAGACUGGGAUAACUUCGGGAAACCGGAGCUAAUACCGGAUAAUAUUUUGAACCGCAUGGUUCAAAAGUGAAAGACGGUCUUGCUGUCACUUAUAGAUGGAUCCGCGCUGCAUUAGCUAGUUGGUAAGGUAACGGCUUACCAAGGCAACGAUGCAUAGCCGACCUGAGAGGGUGAUCGGCCACACUGGAACUGAGACACGGUCCAGACUCCUACGGGAGGCAGCAGUAGGGAAUCUUCCGCAAUGGGCGAAAGCCUGACGGAGCAACGCCGCGUGAGUGAUGAAGGUCUUCGGAUCGUAAAACUCUGUUAUUAGGGAAGAACAUAUGUGUAAGUAACUGUGCACAGCUUGACGGUACCUAAUCAGAAAGCCACGGCUAACUACGUG
rnacentral:rRNA from 1 species